rnacentral:rRNA from 1 species
CCUACGGGAGGCAGCAGUGGGGAAUAUUGCGCAAUGGGCGAAAGCCUGACGCAGCGACGCCGCGUGAGGGAUGAAGGUCUUCGGAUCGUAAACCUCUGUCAGCAGGGAAGAAGGGUCACUGUGCUAAUCAGCAGUGAAUUGACGGUACCUGCAAAGGAAGCACCGGCUAACUCCGUGACAGCAGCCGCGGUAAUACGGAGGGUGCGAGCGUUAAUCGGAAUUACGGGGCGUACAGCGCUCGUAUGCGGUAUGUCAAGUCAAGGGGGAAGUCCCCGGGCUCAACGUGGGGACUGCCUUUGAAACUGGCAAACUGGAGAGUGUGAGAGGUAAGUGGAAUUCCAGGUGGAGGAGUGAAAUCCGUAGAUAUCUGGAGGAACAUCAGUGGCGAAGGCGACUAUCUGGCACAUAACUGACGCUGAGGAGCGAAAGCGUAGGUAGCAAACAGGAUUAGAUACCCCAGUAGUC